rnacentral:ncRNA from 1 species
UGUAAAUUUUAUUCUAGUUUAAUUUAAAUUUUUAUUAUGAUAAAAUAUGAUAUGUGAAUUUUUGUGUGUAAUAUUAUUUAUUUUAAAAAUAAUUAAUAUUUUAAUAUAAAUGCAGCUUUUAUUUUUAUGUAUUUAGUAAUUUAAGACAUAGUUAAUUAUUUAUAUGACUAGCAAAAAUUGUGCCAGCAGCUGCGGUUACACAAUUAGUCAAAAUUAUUUUUUUUAGAAAUAUUAUUUAUUAUUUAUAUUGAUUAUGAAUUUUGAUUUUUAAAGUGAAAUUUGAAAUUUUUAUAUAUAAUUUGGUUAUAAUAUAUUUUUAGAUUAUAAGAUAUUCUUAAAUUAAACUAGGAUUAGAUACCCUAUUAUUGAGAAUGUAAAUUUGGUUUCUUAGUAUUAUAAGUUAUGAUCUUUAAAUUGAAAGAAUUUGACGGUAAUUUAAUCAUUUUAGAGGAACCUGUUCUUUAAUCGAUAAUCCACGAUAAAUUUUACCUUUAUUAUAAUUAAUAUGGUUUGUAUAUCUCUGUCUUGUUUUGAAUGUUUUAUUAGAUGAUUUUCUUUAAUUUUUAUUAAAAUUUAUGUCAGGUCAAGGUGCAGCUAUAUAAAGGAUUGAAAUGGGUUACAUUUAAUAUUUAAAUAUUAUUGGAUUAAUUUAUGUAUAUAAAUUAUGAAAUUGGAUUUAAUUGUAAUGUUUAAUAUAUAUUAUUCAUGAUAUAUGUUCUUGAUUAAGUACACAUCGCCCGUCACUCUCAUUAAUAAGAUGAGAUAAGUCGUAACAAAGUAGUCCUAUCGGAAGAUGGGGCUGGAAUUAUA